rnacentral:rRNA from 1 species
ACACUCCUGCGGGAGGCAGCAGUGGGGAAUAUUGCACAAUGGGCGCAAGCCUGAUGCAGCCAUGCCGCGUGUAUGAAGAAGGCCUUCGGGUUGUAAAGUACUUUCAGCGGGGAGGAAGGCGAUAAGGUUAAUAACCUUGUCGAUUGACGUUACCCGCAGAAGAAGCACCGGCUAACUCCGUGCCAGCAGCCGCGGUAAUACGGAGGGUGCAAGCGUUAAUCGGAAUUACUGGGCGUAAAGCGCACGCAGGCGGUCUGUCAAGUCGGAUGUGAAAUCCCCGGGCUCAACCUGGGAACUGCAUUCGAAACUGGCAGGCUAGAGUCUUGUAGAGGGGGGUAGAAUUCCAGGUGUAGCGGUGAAAUGCGUAGAGAUCUGGAGGAAUACCGGUGGCGAAGGCGGCCCCCUGGACAAAGACUGACGCUCAGGUGCGAAAGCGUGGGGAGCAAACAGGAUUAGAUACCCUUGUAGUCCC